GGGUGAGUAACGCGUGGGUAACCUGCCUCAUACACAUGGAUAACAUACCGAAAGGUAUGCUAAUACAAGAUGAUAUAAGAGAUUCGCAUGGAUUUCUUAUCAAAGCUCCGGCGGUAUGAGAUGGACCCGCGUCUGAUUAGCUAGUUGGUAAGGUAACGGCUUACCAAGGCGACGAUCAGUAGCCGACCUGAGAGGGUGAUCGGCCACAUUGGAACUGAGACACGGUCCAAACUCCUACGGGAGGCAGCAGUGGGGAAUAUUGCACAAUGGGCGAAAGCCUGAUGCAGCAACGCCGCGUGAGUGAUGAAGGCCUUCGGGUCGUAAAACUCUGUCCUCAAGGAAGAUAAUGACGGUACUUGAGGAGGAAGCCCCGGCUAACUACGUGCCAGCAGCCGCGGUAAUACGUAGGGGGCUAGCGUUAUCCGGAUUUACUGGGCGUAAAGGGUGCGUAGGUGGUCUCUUAAGUCAGGAGUGAAAGGCUACGGCUUAACCGUAGUAAGCUCUUGAAACUGGGAGACUUGAGUGCAGGAGAGGAAAGUGGAAUUCCUAGUGUAGCGGUGAAAUGCGUAGAUAUUAGGAGGAACACCAGUAGCGAAGGCGGCUUUCUGGACUGUAACUGACACUGAGGCACGAAAGCGUGGGGAGCAAACAGGAUUAGAUACCCUGGUAGUCCACGCCGUAAACGAUGAGUACUAGGUGUCGGGGGUUACCCCCCUCGGUGCCGCAGCUAACGCAUUAAGUACUUCCGCCUGGGGAGUACGCUCGCAAGAGUGAAACUCAAAGGAAUUGAC
rnacentral:rRNA from 1 species